rnacentral:misc_RNA from 1 species
GAAUGAAGAACGCAGCGAAAUGCGAUAAGUAGUGUGAAUUGCAGAAUUCAGUGAAUCAUCGAAUCUUUGAACGCACAUUGCGCCCUUUGGUAUUCCAAAGGGCAUGCCUGUUCGAGCGUCAUUUGUACCCUCAAGCUUUGCUUGGUGUUGGGCGUCUUGUCUCUAGCUUUGCUGGAGACUCGCCUUAAAGUAAUUGGCAGCCGGCCUACUGGUUUCGGAGCGCAGCACAAGUCGCACUCUCUAUCAGCAAAGGUCUAGCAUCCAUUAAGCCUUUUUUUCAACUUUUGACCUCGGAUCAGGUAGGGAUACCCGCUGAACUUAAGCAUAUAAUAAGCGGAGGA